AUGAAUGUGCCAUAUACAAAUUAUUAUUGUUUGUGUGAUAGAAAAUGCCAUGACUUUUUCUUUUUUUCUUUUUGGGUUAUUGUUAAAAUGUAUUCUUGUUCACCCAUGGCAUUUUUCUGUGUUUGGAAGUUGAUGGCAUCUUUUCACUUAACAAAGAAAAAAUGUUUCUUUUGUCAGAGCAAAAAAAGGAAAAUCUGGGCUUUUUUCUUCUAUUUUUCGUUUCUGGGCUUUUUUGGUCGAGAACUUCUGUUUUCUGUUAGCGAUCAGUUUUUGUCUAAAAAUAUGUUAGCGAUCAGUUUGUCUACGUGGAGCGUUCGGGCUGAUGAUCAAUUUGUUCGGACGCUCGAUCAUCCCAGCCCGAACGAAUCGUUCGGUGGGAGGUUCCUUGAAAUCUGCCGUUCGGCAGUUAUUGGUGUCCUUGUUUUUUUACGUGGGUGCUACUUUCUUUCCCUUUUUUCCGAACAUGGGCAAUUUGUUUUCUUUUUGACGUGA
rnacentral:rRNA from 1 species